rnacentral:lncRNA from 1 species
UUCUUUCCUUAAUAACAGGGGUAGGCACCUGCAGAGUGUGACGCUGCCAGUAGUGUCAGGUCUUGAUACACCUUUUCCAAAGUGGGAAUCAUAUGGUGAUGGAAUGCUCCCACUGAAUGAUGAACUUAAAGAACACAAUUUCAACAGGGGGAGAUGGUCCAAACAAAAAGGACUGGUCCAUGUCUGGUACACAGGAUACUUUUACAUAACAUCAGAGAUACUGCCAGAAGGAAAGACUGUUCUUCAAGCAGCCCUUGGAGGGAAACAUGGAGUUCUUCUGACUGAAGAAAUUACGGUGAUGGGAACAAUGGUUACUUUGAAGUUGCGCCUUUUGAACUCUGAAGCUAAAUAAUGCCCAUGGAAGGAACAAAAUGAAUACGAAAAGCUUGUUUCAAGACUUCUUAGUUGGAAUUUGGAAAGGAUGGGAAAUAAAGCGAAGAGGAUGUCAAUGGAAUAUUGAGUCUCAUAUAAUUAACAGAUGCAAAUUGAACCAAAGGGGUUUCUGAGGAGAAGACAAGUUAAGGUGAGAGUUGUCCAUAAUGGAUUUUGAAUGGUGUCUCAUGGAAGCUUUGUGUGUGUGUGUGUGUGCGCGCUCGCUCUCGUGUGUGUGUGUGUGUGUGUGUAUAUAUAUGUGUGUGUGUGUCUGUGUGUAUAUAUACACACACAAGAGCACACACAGACACACACACACACAAUGUGAUUGUAUAUAGUAAUGGAAUAUUAUUCAGACCUAAAAAGAAGGAAAUCCCACGAUUUGCAACAUAUGGAUGAAACUGAAAGAUACUAUGCUAAGUGAAAUAAGCCAGAGACAGAAAGACAAAUACUGUAUGAUCUCACUUGUGUGUGGAAUCUGAAAAAGUUGAGCUCAUAGAAACAAAGGAUGGAAUGGUGGUUGUCAGGGGCUGGGGGUUAAGAGGAAAUGAGGCAGUAUUGGUUGAAAGACAAACUUUCAGCUGUAAGAUGACAAAGUUCUGGGGAUCUAAGGUACAAUGUUAAUUUGAUUGUGAUCAUCAUUACACAAUGUUUAUAUAUAUGAAAGCAUUACAUUGCAUAUUUUGA